GGGGAAAGUCGGCAGAAACUAUUGGAAAUGACAGAAGCGGUCGGCUACACGUCUUUAAUAAGCACAGAAUGUGACGCAAGUUUGCUUUCUCCCUCAGAAGAGGAGUCAUACAUGCCUAUGAAGCGUUGCCGACUCCAUCUAUGUGUAAGGUAUAUUUCCCUGGCGUCUGACAUCCUCCAAACCCUUUCGCCAAAAUGCCCUGAAUUUCAUCCCCUUUCCGUCUUCCAUCUCUCACACUGCAUUGCUCAGGCUUCAUGCUUUCUCCCACAGUGAAAACAUAUUGGCUGGUCUUUUCUUUUUUUGCACUCCUCAGAACUAGAAGGGAAAGAACUCAGUCUUUCCCUUCUACAUCUGUGAACCAUUUUCCUGCUGCCACAUGCCCAUAGUUCCGACACCAAUAACACCUCAGUGGAAUCCUCUGAAGUUUUCUGUCUUUUUUCCCAUGUCUUGUAGAAACAUCACAACCAUAGGUAGACUAUGAAUGUUAUCAAAGUAUCUCUGGCUGUUUUCAUUUGGUUUUUCUGAAGCUUGCCAAAAAAGAUGGUGUUUUGAGGAACCAGAGCGGCUUUCUCUGGUGUGUAAAUGUACUUUUAGAAUGAAGAUUUAUUUGUAAUUUUGAUUGUAACUUGGAAUGCAAUUCAUGACUUUUUUAUUUGAUGUCAUUCGUUUGUAGCAGGGAGCUUGUAUGUAUAUACAGAGGCUUCAGAAAGUAUUCUGAUCUCUUGAGUUUUUUUGUUGUAGAUUUAAUUUUAAAUGGAUAAAAUUGGCAUUUUUGCCAAUCAAUCUACACUCAAUAACUCAUAAUAACAAAGUAAAAACUGUGCAAAGUGCAAAUUUAUUACAAAUCAUUUAUGUAAGUAUUCAGAUCGAUAAUUCAGUACUUAGAAAAAGGCCCUUUGGCAGCAAUUACAGCUUCAAGUCUUCUUUGGCAAGUCUCUACAAGCUUUGCACACCUGAAUGUGGGCAGUUUAUCCCAUUCUUCCUGGCAUGAUUUGGGUCACCGCUUCGUCACGGAAGUUAGCCUGCUUAUGUUACUAGUGGAUGCGUCUAGGUGACAGUGUUACGUUUAAUUUAGAUAUUACAAAUAACAAAACGCAUAACGUUACUAUUAAGCGUAGGCUAUGAUAUUUGGUGUACCA